AUAAUACUCCCUCCGUCCUAAAUUACUUGUCUUAGAUUUAUAUAUAUAUAUUAUGUAUUUAGACAUGUUUUAGUGUUAGAUACAUCCGUAUCUAGAUAAAUCUAACACAAGUAAUUUGGAAUAGAGGGAGUAUCUA
rfam:Hordeum vulgare subsp. vulgare, WGS project CAJW01000000 data, contig: morex_contig_148216